GGAUCAUUACAUUGAGCAUUUCAUCUAAUUCUUCUUACUCAUUUGCUUUAUUGUGUUGAAAAGUAGUAAUUAAGAACUUUAAUCCCUUUUUUUUCAAACUAGUAAUCCAUAUUUGAAUGGCCAUCAGUUUACAGAACCGUGGAUUCGUUAGCUUGAAGAAGGGAUUUUUGAACUAUAUUAAUCAAAGUUCUACUAUCCUCUCUACCAGGAGGGCAGUGCAUGCAUCAGUGUACGAUAAGAAUCUGGAGGAGUCUGUGCUGGUGCCAGAUGAAGUGAUCAAGGCGAAAUCGGAUAAGUACUGGACUCCUCAUCCUCAUACUGGUGUGUUUGGACCAGCCACUGAUCAUCAUAUCGGUAUCAGGGCUGUGAGUGCUAGUGUGGAUUCUGUGUUGGAACAGAAGGCCUUCUUCCGCCCACUCGAGGAUCUUGAGAAGCCAGCUUAUGUUUAAAGUUCUUUCAAUCUUUAGUGAUUUUUUUUUAAAUUUGAAUCUGUAGUAAGGAGUGCAGAAUAAGAUGCUAUCAAAUAUUUGUAUUAUAAAUAAUAAUAUGAACCUUUUACUUCUAUCAAGUUCUCUCUGUGUUGGGGAAGAAAAGUUGUACCAUCCAAAUUCUCUUUCAAUGUUGCUGAAAAUUUGAUAAACAGAAAGAACUCGACAGAUUUAAGAACUUCAGAGAGGUGCCAAAUGGGUGGAUUGGGCUGAAUUUGGGUGGAGCAAAUUGUUCCUGUAAAGUGCAGGUUGAUAGAGUUGAAAAAGGAAAACACAAUGGGACUGAUGGAGGGACACAUUUUUAAUAAUCUAGGCCAAUUGUUUGGGAGUAAGAAAUGUAUAUGCCUCUUACUGUAUUCUAAUGUUG
rnacentral:misc_RNA from 1 species